rnacentral:tRNA from 1 species
GCCGCUGCAGCUCGGUGGUAGAGCGCACCCUUGGUAAGGGAGAGGUCGGGAGUUCAAUCCUCCCCGGCAGCACCA